rnacentral:rRNA from 1 species
UACAGAGGUGGCAAGCGUUGUUCGGAAUUACUGGGCGUAAAGGGCGCGUAGGCGGCCAUCUAAGUCAGACGUGAAAUCCCUCGGCUUAACCGGGGAACUGCGCUUGUUACUGGCAGACUUGAGUGUAGCAGGGGGGGGUGGAAUUCCACGUGUAGCAGUGAAAUGCGUAGAGAUGUGGAGGAACACCGAUGGCGAAGGCAGCCCCCUGGGUCAACACUGACGCUCAUGCACGAAAGCGUGGGGAGCAAACAGG